UAGGCACUGGUGCAAGUGUCCAAUGUCCGUC
rnacentral:piRNA from 1 species